AAUAAAGAGCUGAGAUUUGCAUCAAGCAUGAACCAAACACAAACCCUCUCCCUCCAGGGAUCUGAGGAAGAUAAAGGAGCCACCAGAGUGUCCAGUGUCAGCUGUGGGGUCAGAGUGUCCUGGACACAUUGGCACCAUGACUGGGACUCCUCUUCUGCUCCUGCUCCUGCUCACUCUCUGCCCAGGGUCCCUCUCUCAGGCUGUGGUGACUCAGGAGACCUCAGUGUCCGUGUCUCUAGGAGGGACAGUCACAUUCACCUGUGGCCUUAGCUCUGGGUCAGUCUCCAAUAGUCACUACCCCAAGUGGUUCCAGCAGACCCCAGGCCAGGCUCCCCGCACACUCAUCUACAAUACAAACAUCCGGCCCUCAGGGGUCCCUGAGCGCUUCACUGGAUCCAUCUCUGGGAACAAAGCUGCCCUCACCAUCACGGGGGCCCAGCCUGAGGAUGAGAGUAACUAUUAUUGUUCUGUAGAGCCUGGCAGUGGGAGCAGCUACAGUCACUCACAGUGGCUCAGAUGACGAGGAAGUGAGACAGAAACCCCUGGGCCCAGAGGUCAUGGCUCUGGGUCUCACUGAUGCUGCUGUGGAGGCCCCUGUAAGGUGGGCUCCUCUGCAUCAGC